rfam:Glycine soja cultivar W05 scaffold1316_1, whole genome shotgun sequence.
GUUUAUCUCGGAGGAGUGAAUCUGAGAACACAAGGCUGGUUUGCACUGCUAUAUCAUCUAUUGGUAUAAGGUGAAUUUACUUUGUGUUCUCAGGUCACCCCUUUGAGCCAACC